AUACGGAGGGUGCAAGCGUUAUCCGGAAUCAUUGGGUUUAAAGGGUCCGUAGGCGGGCGAUUAAGUCAGAGGUGAAAUCCCACAGCUCAACUGUGGAACUGCCUUUGAUACUGGUUGUCUUGAGUUACAGUGAAGUAGAUAGAAUGUGUAGUGUAGCGGUGAAAUGCAUAGAUAUUACACAGAAUACCGAUUGCGAAGGCAGUCUACUAACUGUAUACUGACGCUAAUGGACGAAAGCGUGGGGAGCAAACAGGAUUAGAAACCCCUGUAGUCC
rnacentral:rRNA from 1 species